UUGAUUCUUCGGAUGAUUUUCAGUUGACUGAGCGGCGGACGGGUGAGUAACGCGUGGGUGACCUGCCCCAUACCGGGGGAUAACAGCUGGAAACGGCUGCUAAUACCGCAUAAGCGCACAGAGCUGCAUGGCUCGGUGUGAAAAACUCCGGUGGUAUGGGAUGGGCCCGCGUCUGAUUAGGCAGUUGGCGGGGUAACGGCCCACCAAAACCGACGAUCAGUAGCCGGCCUGAGAGGGCGACCGGCCACAUUGGGACUGAGACACGGCCCAAAACUCCUACGGGAGGCAGCAGUGGGGAAUAUUGCACAAUGGGGGAAACCCUGAUGCAGCGACGCCGCGUGAGCGAAGAAGUAUUUCGGUAUGUAAAGCUCUAUCAGCAGGGAAGAUAAUGACGGUACCUGACUAAGAAGCCCCGGCUAACUACGUGCCAGCAGCCGCGGUAAUACGUAGGGGGCAAGCGUUAUCCGGAUUUACUGGGUGUAAAGGGAGCGUAGACGGCAAGGCAAGUCUGAUGUGAAAACCCAGGGCUU
rnacentral:rRNA from 1 species